GGUGCGAGAGUGGAGGCAGGUACUGGAAGGCCUUGUGCACCUAUAGUGUUUUUGGCAGUGAUGGCUCUUCCAUAGGUGGUUUGCUGUUCUUGCGGAGGGCUGCUCCAGGGCAGCGGAGCAUCUGCAGGAAGCAGACCUGCACAAUCUAGCUGUUUCACUUUGCAGUGGAGCUGAGGAGCUCUCUUGUAAUGUUGGAGGAGCCAGGUGCGUGUUUUUGUGAAAUGAUAUUUCUCUAUCCAGUAUCUGAAGAGUGAGGUGCCUCGUGGAGAGCAGAGAGAUGCUUCUCGUAUCCAUGGGAUAGGUCCUGGGGAAGGUCCAGCUCUGCCUGUGGCUGGCAGUGGUCUGGGAUUGUCCCUUUCCUGGAGGGCUGAAGCUCCUUAGGAGUGUCAUACUGAGAUUGGUCAGAUGAGAGAUCGGCCAACCUGUGGCAGAGACCAAAGAAGGAGCAGCCACCCGGAGCCCAUCCCUAGGGAUGGAAGCCGGACAGUGAUCUGCAGAUACCACGGAGAAAGAAGUGAAGGGUAAGAGCCCACCCCAGUUCUGAGAUGGAAAGCACCAAGAGCCGGGAGACCACAAGCGUUGUUGAUGCCAGACUAUGGCGAUGCCGUCGAUCUGGGAGUGGAGCAGCCGUCACCAUCAGUGAGAUAAGUGUCUGGUUUGGGGAGGACUCAGGUAAUGGCCCAUCUGCCUCCAGGCUGAGACUUGUCAUUAGCUGGGGCUCGGUUUGUAGGAAAAGAUUCCUGACCUGCUGUGGUUACGAGAGAGACAAGGUCCCCAUUUUCAGGGGCUGGUCUUUUCUCUGUCCACAAACAGUGUGUCCUACGCAGCAGAAGGUUGGAUCGAGGAGGAUGACUCCAGCUGUUGAGUUUCUUG